UGUUCUGGAUAAACAUCAUAUUUUUUGCACGCCGUAAUUGUCUUCAGAGUCUCAAAUACAGUAAUGAAAUUUGCCUAUAUAUUGUCACACUUGGAAUCCAUAAUUUCAUCAUUCAUGCAUGUAUUUUUUUUCUUGAAGCAAGAAGAGUGGGUUAGCGAUAUCGCUUGAAUCAUGAAGACGUUUCUACUAAUCUUUGUAGCCUUCAUGUUGAUCCUUGGAACUCUACAAACCAACGCAGAGAGGGUCACUAUGUUGGAUCGUCAGCUCCUAAGUGAUGGAAAUCUUGGACGAAAAGUUAACAUCGGUGCAAAUUAUUAUGGUAUAAAUGGAAAAGAAGGUGCCAAAGAGAUCGAUGAAACUAAAACUACCACUACUGAUGAUGGUGAGAACAACGACAAUGAUGAUGUGAACCAGAGUUAUGGAAAGUUAGGCCAUGGAUCAUCUACUGAUGCUCACCACCACAUCUACAUAGAUAGCCCUACUCAGAUACCAUGACUAAGCACUAUCUGGUGAAUGGACUUUGUGUAAAAAUGGUGUGCUGAUAUUAAGAUGGUGUACCAAAACCUAUAUGUAAGUAGUGAUCAACAAGUGUAUAAAUUUAGGUCUGUGAUGGUCUCUCCCUAAAAAAUGUUUGCCCUUCUGUUCUAUAUAUUAACAGUCACACGAUUUGAUUUUUAAUCUAAAGAAAAUCAUAGUGUGGUUGUGAGUAAAGAAACAAGAGGACAGACACUUUUUUUUGAACAAUGGAUCUCAAUAUGUAAUUGUGAGUAUGAGUUUUGAAAAGUAUCAAUUUCAUGCAGUGUGUUUAAUCUAUGUGAUAAAUCCCAAGGUUUGUAUGGUUGUACUUUCA